CCAGUCUGACAAGCUCUGCCAGUUUAACACUGCCUGCCUGUCUGUCUGUCCACAAGAUGUCUGCUUCACCUGCUACCUACCACCCCAUAAGACACUGAAGGACCAGGAGCUAGGGGCCUACAGCCUGCUGCUCCUCCAUGGAUCCAGGACAAUUCAUUAAUGGCUUCUACUGCCACUAUAAGUUUUACCAUUUCUUCUCAAUUUGCUUUGGACUGGGUUGUGGAAUGGCAGUCUACCGACCAUAUUACCACAUUUUGACCCCGGCACUUCUGUCUGUGAUUUCCACUCUUAUAUUUGAAUUUGUGGGCAUGCUCUCUGGUAAGGUAAAAU